UUCUUCGGAAACAGGAACCGAAGGCAUUUCUUCAGCUUUUUUCUCUGAUACAUCGGUUACAUCAGCCGAAAUAAUACCUUCGGCAUGUGAAGAAUAGGACCUUUUAGCAAUUGACUUACGCCGCUUUGGAGGCGGCGGGGGAGCAGAUUGAGCGGUUUCAAUCGAUCUUUUUUCUGAAGCUGAGACUGAUGAAGAAACUAGAAUUGACUGUAGAAAAAGAAAAGAAAUAUUGAAAAGAAAGUUAAAAUAAAGGUGAGUACAUUACAGAAGAAGAUGGCUUGACCUCAGAAGCUUCUUCUAUUUCUUCUCUUGAUGGUGAGACAGGAGGAUCAACUGAAACAAGUGGAUGAAUAGUUCUGCAAAAUGCCCGAAGAAGAGAAACGUCGAGAGUACGGUCAGUAAAAU
rnacentral:lncRNA from 1 species